rnacentral:rRNA from 1 species
UAACGCGUAUGCAACCUGUCCGUUACAGGGGAAUAGCCCAUGGAAACGUGGAUUAAUGCUCCAUAAUAUAAUAUAGAGGCAUCUUUAUGUUAUUAAAUAUUUAUAGGUAACGGUUGGGCAUGCGUCCUAUUAGAUAGUUGGGGGGGUAACGGCCCACCAAGUCGAUGAUAGGUAGGGGUUCUGAGAGGAAGGUCCCCCACACUGGUACUGAGACACGGACCAGACUCCUACGGGAGGCAGCAGUGAGGAAUAUUGGUCAAUGGGCGAGAGCCUGAACCAGCCAAGUCGCGUGAGGGAUGACUGCCCUAUGGGUUGUAAACCUCUUUUGUAUGGGGGGAAUAAGCUUUACGAGUAGAGUGAUGACAGUACCAUACGAAUAAGCAUCGGCUAACUCCGUGCCAGCAGCCGCGGUAAUACGGAGGAUGCGAGCGUUAUCCGGAUGUAUUGGGUUUAAAGGGUGCGUAGGCGGCAUUAUAAGUUAGUGGUAAAAUAUUGGGGCUUCACCUCACUACGCCAUUAAUACUGUAGAGCUAGAGAACAGACGAGGUAGGCGGAAUAAGUUAAGUAGCGGUGAAAUGCAUAGAUAUAACUUAGAACACCGAUAGCGAAGGCAGCUUACCAGACUGAGUCUGACGCUGAUGCACGAGAGCAUGGGUAGCGAACAGGAUUAGAUACCCUGGUAGUCCAUGCCGU